GACGAACGCUGGCGGCGUGCUUAACACAUGCAAGUCGAACGGAAAGGCCCUGCUUUUGUGGGGUGCUCGAGUGGCGAACGGGUGAGUAACACGUGAGUAACCUGCCCUUGACUUUGGGAUAACUUCAGGAAACUGGGGCUAAUACCGGAUAGGAGCUCCUGCUGCAUGGUGGGGGUUGGAAAGUUUCGGCGGUUGGGGAUGGACUCGCGGCUUAUCAGCUUGUUGGUGGGGUAGUGGCUUACCAAGGCUUUGACGGGUAGCCGGCCUGAGAGGAUGACCGGCCACAUUGGGACUGAGAUACGGCCCAGACUCCUACGGGAGGCAGCAGUGGGGAAUAUUGCACAAUGGGCGGAAGCCUGAUGCAGCAACGCCGCGUGCGGGAUGACGGCCUUCGGGUUGUAAACCGCUUUCGCCUGUGACGAAGCGUAAGUGACGGUAAUGGGUAAAGAAGCACCGGCUAACUACGUG
rnacentral:rRNA from 1 species